UACGUAGGGGGCAAGCGUUGUCCGGAAUCAUUGGGCGUAAAGAGCGUGUAGGCGGCCUGGUAAGUCCGCUGUGAAAGUCCAGGGCUCAACCCUGGAAUGCCGGUGGAAACUGUCAGGCUCGAGUCCGGAAGAGGCGAGUGGAAUUCCCGGUGUAGCGGUGAAAUGCGCAGAUAUCGGGAGGAACACCGGUGGCGAAGGCGGUUCUCUGGGCCUGACCUGACGCUGAGGAGCGAAAGCGUGGGGAGCGAACAGG
rnacentral:rRNA from 1 species